rnacentral:rRNA from 1 species
UACGUAGGGUGCGAGCGUUUAAUCGGAAUUACUGGGCGUAAAGCGUGCGCAGGCGGUUUUGUAAGCCAGAUGUGAAAUCCCCGGGCUUAACCUGGGAAUGGCAUUUGGGACUGCAAGGCUUGAGUGCGGCAGAGGAGACUGGAAUUCCUGGUGUAGCAGUGAAAUGCGUAGAUAUCAGGAGGAACACCGGUGGCGAAGGCGGGUCUCUGGGCCGGUAACUGACGCUGAGGAGCGAAAGCGUGGGGAGCGAACAG